rnacentral:snRNA from 1 species
AUCUGCGAUUUGAUAUGAUGUUU